rnacentral:lncRNA from 1 species
UCAAAAUUCAACAUCGGAAAAAGUUAUACCCAAUUUACUUUAGCAUGUCAGUCUGUCAAACUGAGGGACUGCUACGGCGUUUUUUAUUUCCUUAGGGAUAUUUUGGUAUUUUUAGUCAUCCCAAACUUUUUCUACACGAUUUAAAUCAUCCAAAAUACUCUGUAAUCCAUUUCUUUUAUUAGUUUUAAUCUCUCAAUUCCUUAACUCUCUCAAGAGUAAAAUGGAAACUAGGCUUUUUUUCAAGAUCAAGAAUCAAUCUCGCACUCUGUAAUCCAUUUCUUUUAUUAGUUUUAAUCUCUCAAUUCCUCUCCUCUCUCAAGAGUAAAAUGGAAAUUAGGCUUUCUUUCAAGAUCAAGAAUCAAUCUUGUAAGUCCAAGAUUUCCAAAGAACAAAUCAAGAUUCGAGUUCUACUCUUUAAACUUGUAAUCUAAGGUACGUGGAGUUUUCCUAAAUCUACAUGGACAUGGUAAAUUCUUAUUAAUCAUGUUAAAGGUUUAGAAAUUAUGAAUUUACAAAAAGGGGGUUUUUGAUUUAUAAUUAGAUUCAUGCUUUUAAAGUUUUUGAUGAUAUUAAUUUGAUAUUGAGGCCUUUUCCCCAAAUCUGAUUCAUAACCAUGUUUAAGUAGAUAUAUGUAUGAGUUUGAUGAGUAUGAAUUAUGAAUUGAGAGCAUGAACUAUUUGAAAUCCCUCUCUUAUUUACAAGUCUCUUAACUUCGUAAGAUAUGAUGUGUUCGAAAUAUGAUAUUGGAAAUAUAAUUUAAUAUAAAAACCUUGACUUUGUUUAUGACUUGAUUAUGAUUUUUGAAUUGAAGAGAAAGGGUUUUACAUGUUGGUAAGUGAUGAAAAUAUAUAUAUAUAUAUAUGAAAAAAAUUCAUGGGGUUGUUGAAACUCAUGACCACCACAUGUUUGUUGAAAUGAUUGAAAAAGAAUGACUUUUGCGUAAUUUGAUAAAUGUUUUGGAAGAAUGAAUCUUUCAGAAUUGCUUGAAGUAUGGUGGUUUAACCUUUGUACUUUGAAAGAGAAAAUUGUAAAGGAUAUUUUAUGGCUCAGAAUUAUGACUUGCAAGUCUUGGUAUGACGAUACCAAAUCAGAUAAAGUCAUGAUAAAACUCAGAACAGGAUACAGCUUUUAUUUUAGAUUUCAGAUUUUGAAUUCAAAAAGAUGCAUGUUUAGAAUGGGUUAAAAACUGGGCACUAAGAGAGUUAGGUGGUUACCCGAAGAAGGCACGAGUCAUGUGAUUCAUUGCCCGAAACCGUGUUUUGCCGAUACAGGUAUAUUAUUAUAUGCUGGCCUAGUGCUCUGGGGCGUAUCAGAUUCAGAUACUUCAAUCCUUGCGGCAAACUUGGGUUGGGGGCUUGGCCGUCGAGUUAAUGGCGGAUCCCAUAUUGCCCAUGGGAAACUUUCAGAUAUGUAGGGUGCACCAUUUACCUCAGAAGUAAAAAAAUAAAGAAUGGCUUUACAUCUACAGAUUUGCAUUGAAUGAUUAUUUUAAGUUGGCCAUGAGUUUUAAAUUAUUUCUUGCUUAACAUUUUUAUGAAAUGCUCUCACCUAUGUUGUAUUUAAAAGUACACUAUUUUGGAUUUCUCUGCGUAUCAGUACAUCUGUAUUGUCCCCCCCUCCAUCUCAGGAUCUGAGGCACAGUCUUGGGGUCUAGUUCAGCAAUAGGUUUGAGUGCGUCGGAAGUUGCAAUUGGUGAGCCUCCCUUACUUCGGAAGGCCUGUAUUAGAACUUGUUAUUGUUAUUUCAUUUUGAUUCAUGGCCCGACUGGGGGCUUAUCCCAGAUUUCAGACAAAUGUCAUUUUCAGUUGUUAGAG